rnacentral:lncRNA from 1 species
AGAUGAAAACCGGGCGGGAUGGCAGCCCCGGGGCCAGGGAUGCGGGAGCCGCCGGGAAGACCCGCGCGCCGCUCGACUCAGAGGGACUCACACCUUCCCCCGACAAAGAGGCGGCCCCACUGUCGACCAAGUGCCCAAGGCAUUGUGGGAGUCAUGAUUCCAAGAUGCCCGCGACGGAAAAUGGAACUUGUCAGCUCCUUGUCAUGGGAGCAUUGUGGGCGCCACAACUCAUUCAGCUGCAGUGAAAAGACUGUUGCAUGUCGCUGUGCAGCCUCUUAUCGCCGAGGUCUGGCUUCCGCUGCUGCUGCGCGGCCCCUCCCCCGCCCGCCCAGCCCCACCAGGAAGCCCAGGGCGGACUCGUCGAGCUCCUAAUGCACGCGGCGGCGAGAAAAACGCUCUUCAACUUUCCGCCGGCGCCCUCCCGCGCUUCCCCGGGCCACAGGGUCGCCUGUCAACCGGACAGAGCCCGCAAGAGCGGGUCAUGGGCGGUCGCCCAGCGGCGCCGAGAGCAGGAGGAAGCCGGAGCCCGCGCGGGCGCCGUGGAUCCCCUCGGCCUCCCGUUGGUAUCUUCCAUCUCAUGCGUUCAGCAUUGUAACCUCGCGGCGGGCGUGCAGACCGGACGCCCUCCCGCUUCUUCUACCGACUGCUAGGCACACCAGUGGGUUCAUUUUGAAAGAGGCCCUUGCACCGGGCUUUGCAAGGAAGCCGGCAAGGUUAGAUUGAAGGUUAGAAGCCAAUUAGACUAGAAUCCUGCGAUCUGGUGAGACUGCCGCCUUAAAAUGCACCAAACAGUUUUUGAACCUGGAGGGCUAACAGGCGGGAAAAACAUCUGCAAGACUGCCACCGUGUAUUUUUCUCAAGUAACAGGCUAUCCACAGUUUUGGAAUUCCUUAGUGAAACUGUCACACAGGCACAAACACAUGUCAGCUUUCCUUCUAGUUUGUAAAUAAUAUUUGUAAUUUACAGGCCACUGUAUUCCCAACUUUGCACCAUGUGA